CCUAAACAUGCAAGUCGAGCGGCAGCGGGAAAGUAGCUUGCUACUUUUGCCGGCGAGCGGCGUACGGGUGAGUAAUGCCUGGGRAWYUGCCCAGUCGAGGGGGAUAACUACUGGAAACGACUGCUAAUACCGCAUACGCCCUACGGGGGAAAGCAGGGGACCUUCGGGCCUUGCGCGAUUGGAUGUGCCCAGGUGGGAUUAGCUAGUUGGUGAGGUAACGGCUCACCAAGGCGACGAUCCCUAGCUGGUCUGAGAGGAUGAUCAGCCACACUGGAACUGAGACACGGUCCAGACUCCUACGGGAGGCAGCAGUGGGGAAUAUUGCACAAUGGGGGAAACCCUGAUGCAGCCAUGCCGCGUGUGUGAAGAAGGCCUUCGGGUUGUAAAGCACUUUCAUCGAGGAGGAAAGGUCAGUAGCUAAUAUCUGCUGGCUGUGACGUUACUCGCAGAAAAAUCACCGGCUAACUCUGUGCCAGCAGCCCUGGUAAUACCGAGGGGGCAAGCGUGUAUCGGAAUUACUGUGCGUCAAGCGUUCCCCCGCGGGUGGGAAAAUUUAAAGUCUAARCCCCGGGCUCACCCCGGGAAUUGCAUUUUUAAACUGUUCCAGCGGAGAAAUGUGUUUAAAAUUCUGGAGAAAAUUUCGGUGUGAAAAGAUCGGAGGGCGAUACARAAUUUAAAG
rnacentral:rRNA from 1 species